AUCACCAAGGCAAUGAUGUUUGCCCAUACCUGGCACUACCAAGAUUGAGAACCUCAAUCAGAAUAUAGGAGCUUUGUCUGUAAAACUGUCGCAGAAGAUAUGGCGGAACUUGAAUCUAUUGCUUCUGCAGGAGUCAAGGGUGAGAGAUACGGACCUGAAAUCAGCAAUGGCAAAAUUCUGAAACUCCACCCAUUGUCAACCUGGAAGAGGACAUGAAGACAUAGCUUUGUUGUGGCAAUAAUUCCUUCUAGCUAUUUGCCUGAUGGUGGAUUUCACUAUAUUAAGAGUUGAGUGAUAUGUAUUUGUCCCUAUAAAUUUCGUCAUACUAUUGUCUCCAGGGUUAAGGCAAGUAAAGUUAUAAGAAGAAUGGAGUUUUCUUCAGAAAGGUUGUAAUGAAUAAAGAUCUGGUCAUGUAAAAGCAGAACAUAAUUUUCCUUGCAGUUGAAUGCAUUAAAGGUUAUGUAUUGUACUUUUGAAUGCUAAAGUGGUCCAUUUUUUAUGUGUUACUGCUACGAGAGUUAUAGAUUGUUGGACAUCAUUUUUUGGUUGGAAUGUUUACAUCAAACGUCUCCAAGGACAUGUCAUUCUAAAGUUUAAACUACAUCAUACCACAAAAUGCAGAAAAAGGUCUAAAGUAUGGGAUGUUUGUAAAUUUUCACGGGAGGCUUUGUUGGGUAAAUUGUAAAGGACUAGCAAAUAUUGUAACAAGAAUUGGCUUCAAAUCGUGAUAGAAAUCACUUUCCUUUAGGCUUUAUUUGUCCGGUAUAAAGUGCAAUAACCUUAGACAAAUAUCCUUUAAGAUAAGAUGAAGUUUUGUUUGUCUUAAACUCUUGCACAAAGCAAGACAAACCCUUUGUGAACUAAGGAGUGCUUUUGAGAGAGUAAGGAUAGUAGGAAAGUGAUUUUCUGCAGCAAACUACUCUCUACUUGACCUCUUUAUAUAGGAAGAUUGUUUGGGAAACAAAAGAUCUCAUUAAACACUUGUAUGAAUAGAUUCAAAGUAUUGUGUACACAUUCAUGCACUUUAAUUCAUGCAUCUCAUGAUCAUUUAGAUCAAAACAUGAAUCUAUCCUUUCAUUCAAUAAUUCUCAUAUACAUGAAUACAUUCAUAAAUGAAUGUACUUUUAGAACAUUCACAAUACUAUACAUGUACCAAAAAUUAAUGAAUACAUUAAUUACAUGUAUGUACAUCAUACAAAUUUUGAAAAGUUUCCAACAAUCCCCGCCAUUUUCAAAAUUUAGAAAAUGGAUUUCUAAAAGGUCACCAAGUAAUCUGACACUCAUAUGCAUAAAUAAUGGUGUCUUUCGAUUGAACCACUAUCUUAGUGAAGGUUCUUUGAAAUCAAUCCUUCAAGAUGGUAGACAAGCUUUGAACCACUUGGACAUUGGACCAACCUCAUAAACACAUCACACACUGAGCAAUGCACAACCAUAAGUUCUUCAACGAUACAUUUUACGGCCUUGUAUCACUAUCCUUUCUGAAUGUUUACAAAGUAAAGUCCUUAAUUUGUGGUUUGCCGAAAAAAACAUUCAUAUAGGCGACAUCUUAGUGCCCCGCCAUAGAUAGCACUUUUAAGAUUCGUUAAGAGUCCAAUGACUCAUCCUUACAUUUGCACUGGCGAGAAUAACAUGCACUAUUCAACAUUGGGAUGUCUAAACUUCACAUAGUGCACCAACCACUAGAAUGGUGUACUUUCACUCAUUGAAUUCAAGACUAGACGUUGUAUCUAGCGUUGAAUUGAGGUUCCACCAUUAGUGAUCAAAAUUUUGGACUUUAAACCAUCCCCUUGAUGUCUUUGACACCAAAUUUCUUGAUAAUCCUUUUGUCAAAGGAUCACUUAAAUUUUCAUUUGAUCUCACAAAGUCAAUUGAUAUGACUCCAUUUGUAAUCAAAUCUUUGACAUAACUAUGUCUCAAACCGAUAUGUCUUGAUUUACCAUUAUACACUUGACUAUAUGCUUUAGCAAGUGUAGCUGCACUAUCACAAUGGAUUGAGAUAGGCGACAAAGGUGUUGGCCACAAUGGUAUAUCAUAAAGUAAAUUACGUAGCCAUUCAGCUUCUUUACAGGCCGAAGCAAGUGCUACAAACUCUGCUGCCAUUGUUGAAUCGGUGAUACAAGUCUGUUUCUUAGAACCCCAAGAAAUUGCACCUCCACCAAGCAUAAAGAUCCAACCACUUGUCGACGAGUGAUCAUCUUUAUUGGUGAUCCAACUAGCAUCUGAAAAUCCUUCUAAAACUGAAGGAUAACCGGUAUAACAUAUACCAUAGUCUUAGUGGCCUUUAAAUACUUUAAAAUUUUGGUUACACCUUGCCAAUGUAACCUACUAGGGUUGCUUGUAUAUCUGCUCAAUAUACCAACUGCAUAUGCAAUAUCAGGUUAGUACAAGUCAUUGCAUACAUUAAAUACCCUAUAACCUUGGCAUAUUCCAUUUGAGAUUUUGAUCCCCCUCAUUUUUCACAAAAUUUAUUUUGAAUCCAAUGGUGUUGAGGCUGGAAUACAAUCACUUUGAUUGAAUUUGUUAAGAAUCUUUUCAAUAUAAUGUGUUUGAGACAACAUUAUAUUGUUAUCAUGUUUGAAGAUUCUCAUACCAAGAAUGACAUCUGCCUCACCCAUGUUUUCAUGUCAAAUUUGCUUGAAAGCAAAGUUUUUGUGACUUCAACUUGUUCCAAGUCAGUCCCAAAAAUCAACAUGUCAUCAACAUAUAAACAAAUUAUGACACCUUUGCCAUAUCAAACUUGCUAUAAAUACAUUUAUCAGAUUCAUUUAUUUUGAACCACUAGCAAGAAUAACUUGGUCAAAUUUCUGAUGCCAUUGCUUCGGUACUUGUUUUAGUCCAUAUAAAACUUUACAAGUUUACACACCUUAUGCUCUUGACCAGUAUCACAAACCCUUCGGGUUGCUCCAUAUAUAUUCUUCAUCCAAAUCACCAUUCAAGAAUGCUGUUUUAACAUCCAUUUGGUGAAUGACUAGAUUUUGGAUAGAAGCUAUAGCAAGUAGCACUCUAAUUGUAGCAAUUCUAGCUACUGGUGAAUAUGUGUCAAAAUAGUCCACACCAUACUUUUGUGUAACCUUUGGCAACCAACCUGGCCUUGAACUUAUCAAUAGUUCCGUCGAUCUUCAUUUUCUUCUUAAGAUCCACUUACAACCAAUUGGUUUUGAACCAGGUGGUAAGUCUACUAAUUUCAGGUUUUAUUACCCAUGAUUGAGUCCAUCUCAUCAUUAAUAGCUUCCUUCCAAAAGGGAGCAUCUUGUGAGUUCAUUGCUUCUUCAUAGGUCUUGGGAUCAGCUCAAUAUUGAAGCAAUAUGAGAUUUGGUUGCUCACUGUAUCUCUAGUUCUUCAACUAGAUACAUAUAAAAGUCCGAACCGAAGUCUUUUGAUUUCUAGCUCUUUUGCUCCUUCUCAAUUCAAUGGUUUCAUUUUCACCAUCUUUUGUCAAUUCACUUGAUUUUGGAAUAACAUCUUUUAUAGAGGUGAACCUAUUCUCUUCAAAAAUAGCAUCUCUAGACUCAAUUAUGGUAUUAACCGAAAUUGAAUCAUUAGGUUCAAUUACCAUGAACCUAUAUGCUUUGCUAUUUUGUGCAUAUCUAAAAUAUACACUCCACACCUCUUUCUCCCAAUUUCCUUUUUUGAGGUUCUGGGAGUUUUACAAUAGCUCUACAACCCCAAACUUUCAAAUAGUUUAGGUUGGACUUCCUUUUAUUCCAAAAUUCAUAAGGGGUUAUAGAACUUCUUUUAUUAGAACUCUAUUUAGGAUAUGACAAGCCGUUAACAAGGCUUCACCCAAAAUCCUUGACUUAAACCAGAUUUUGACAAAAGUGCAUUAACCAUUUCUGUCAAUACACGAUUUUUCCUUUCGGCUACACCAUUUUUUGUGGUGUGUAAGGAGCAGUCACCUCAUGUUUUAUCCCAACAGACUCAAAAUAGGUAAUAUCAUAAUAUUCCCCACCUCUAUCUGUUCUUAGACAUUUGAUAAAGGAUUCACAAUGAAGUUCAACUUCUGAUUUGUAUGCCUUAAAUUUUUGCAAAGUUCACUUUUGAGUGUAACAAGAAAACAUGACAGUAUCUACUAUAAUCAUCAAUAAAAGUCACAAAGUACUUUUUACCACCCAAAAUAGGAGUACCAUGCAAAUCACGUACAUCACUAUGAAUCAAAUCAAGAUUUUAGAUGAUCUUUCAACUUUAGAAACGAAUUUCUUGUGAUUUUCGUUAGCAUGCAUGUUUUGUAUUUUCCUUCAAUUUUACAAUAUGGCAGCAAAUCAAGUCUCAUCAUUUCAUGCAUUCUUUUGUAAUUAACAUGACCAAUCCUAUUAUGCCACAAUUUAAAAGAAGACUCAACCAAACGCAGAAAUAAUAUCACUCUUAUUAUUUCUAAUAGCAGUACAUUCAACUUAAACAUCCCAUGCAAAGAUAACCCUUGCCUACAAACAUACCACCUUUAGACAAAAUAAAUUUGUCAGACUCAAAUAUAAGUCUAAAGCCAAAUUUAUUUAACAGCUCAGCCGACACCAAGUUCUUCCUAACUUCCGGUACAUAAAACACAUUUGUCAAGGUUACAACAUUUUCGAAGUAAAUUUUAAUUCUAUUUCUCCAAUGUCUUGAACCGGAAUUGUAGCAGAAUUUUUCAUGUAAACAACGGUGCUUUCAUCCACCGGUUUCAUGGACUUGAAGAACGUUCUAUUGUUGCACACGUGUCGCGUAGCUCCAGAAUCAACCCACCAAGCAAAAUUAUCUUCAAUCAUAUUGAUUUCAGAUAUCAUUGCUACAAGAUUUUGCUUGUGGUUUGGGAAGACUCUUGCUUCUUCUUCUUGUUUUGAAGAAUCUUGCAAUCGGACUUGUAGUGUCCCUCUUUCUUGCAAUAGAAGUAUUGUCCCUUCUUUCUUUUCUUGGAUUGAUUCUUGGGUUGUUGGCCCUUCUUACUUCCUUGAGACUUUUCAGUUUGCCUCUCUUCAAUCACAUGCACUUUUGAAGUAGAAUCUUUGUUCUCUUCAAGGAUUUGACUAUCCUUCUUUUCUUGCAUGCGAAUUUCCUCUUCUACUCGAAGAGAUUUAGCAAAAUCUCAAGAGAGAUAUCAUCUUUUUUGUUUGAGGUCUCUUUUGAAAUCUUUCCAAGAAAGUGGUAACUUAUCUAUUAUAGAGCAAACAAUAAUGGCUUCAUCAUGUGUAGAUUGUGUUGUGUGAGUGAUUAAGAAGCCUUUCAAUCUCACUAAAUUGCUCCAAAACUUAUUAUCUACCAUUUUAUAAUUAUUAAAAGACGAGACAAGAAACUUCUUACUUGUAGCAUCUUCUUGCAUGUACUUGGACUCCAAUCGAUCCCAAAGUUCCUUGGCAGUAGUAAUUGAAUGGUAGACAUCGAACAGGUUGUCACUCAUGGUAUUGAGGAUGUGACCACGGCAUAUUUCAUCGUCGUUCUCCCAUUUCUGACGGUUUCAGAUGUGUUCAAGAGUUUCUUCAUCGGGAUUGAUCAAUGAUUUUGGUGUGAUCAAAACAUAGACCACUUUGAGUGCAGUGAGAAGGAAAUGAACACGUUUUUGCCAACGAACGAAAUUUCCUCCAUCAAACCGCGUGAGCUUGACAAUAUUGGAUGCCAAAUCUUUCAAGGUACCAUCCAUUGUAGAGUAUAAAUAAAGCCUAAAAUUGUUGGGUAAAUUGUAAAGGACUAGCAAAUAUUGUAACAAGAAUUGGCUUCAAAUCGUGAUAGAAAUCACUUUCCUUUAGGCUUUAUUUGUCCGGUAUAACGUGCAAUUACCUUAGACAAAUAUCCUUUAGGAUAAGAUGAAGUUUUGUUUGUUUUAAACUCUUGCACAAAGCAAGACAAACCCUUUGUGAACUAAGAGUGCUUUUGAGAGAGUAAGGAUAGUAGGAAAGUGAUUUUCUACAGCAAACCACUCUCUACUUGACCUCUUUAUAUAGGAAGAUUGUUUGGGAAACAAAAGAUCUCAUUAAACACUUGUAUGAAUAGAUUCAACGUAUUGUGUACACAUUCAUGCACUUUAAUUCAUGCAUCUCAUGAUCAUUUAGAUCAAAACAUGAAUCUAUCCUUUCAUUCAAUAAUUCCCAUAUACAUGAAUACAUUCAUAAAUGAAUGUACUUUUAGGAACAUUCACAAUACUAUACAUGUACCAAAAAUUAAUGAAUAUACAUUAAUUACAUGUAUGUACAUCAUACAAAUUUUGAAAAGUUUCCAACAGGCUUGUGAUAGCAAAAACUUCAGGAGGCUUCUGAAAUUAUCCCUUAAACUAAACUAAAGGAGGUAAGAUUUUAAGCAGAUCUCGGUAAGUUAAAAGGUUAAAACUUUACAUACAAAUAAAUGGUCAAAUUCACUUUAAAUUUGUGGUGUCAUCUUCCACCUUAAACUUUUGUACUAUCCAAGUUCGUUUUAAUUCCUUUGGGAAAAUCAAACAUCAAAUGCUUACCAUUUAUUGAAACAUUACAUCAUCCAUCCAAUUGAAACAAACUCCUACGGAGUUUUUUUUUUUUUUUUUGCUUUAUUUUGUUGUUAGAUAUGAAUUUAUUUCACAUUUGGUUGUCAGAUCUAAAUUUUUUUUUCAAAUUUUAAAUCUAUUUCAACAUAUCUCAUUAUCAUUAUUGAAACUUAAAACCGUUUAUUGGCAAAUCUGGUGAUUGCCAUAUGCACGGAAGGGAUGCACUUUUAAAAUUCUUUAUAUAUAUUUUUUUAGAUUUGUUUGUAAUUUUCAAAUCUAUUGUAUCUGUUAAAUUAUGAUCUGUAAUUUUUAAUGGAUGUUUGGCCUGCCAUUAGGGGAGUUAUGCAAAUCAAAUCAUGUUAGAUGAUUUCCAAAAAAAACUUAAUCGUCAAUUACUCUUUCCCAUUUUAUUUGUCCACUUUUCAAUUGUCAAUAACUCUUUUAAGAAACUUUGUAAUACAAAAAUCAACUGAAACCAGUAGAAUAUUACUUUGUAAUAUUUUUUUUGACAAAAAAAAGUAGAAUAUACAAUUAAUAGCAGUAUUCAUAUUAUGUUUUUGUAUAUUACUUGUACAUCUAAUUAGUCCCAUUUGGAGAAAAAAAAGGAUGAAGACAAAGACAAAAACACAUAAUAGUCACAAAAAACACAGAUCUAGCUCAAAAUAUGGCAGUGACCAAUUGUUCUGCAAAAUUAUUAGGAUAAGCAGUUGACAGAUUCUAUAAUCGCUUUUGGUCAAAUAUUAUUUAAAUUAGCUGGAUGGUCAAAUAUUACUUUUAAUUUUAAUCAUUUAAAUUACCAGUUACUAUCAUCAUUGGAAGAAGCACAUUGAGGGUCUGUUUGGAUUGUGAAUUAUUAGAGAUAUUUUUACUGUAGCACUUUUUAUGAUGUGAUGUAUGUGAGAUAAAAAGGUAAUUGGAAAGGUAAAAAGGUGUAUUGGAAAUUGUAAUAAUGAUGUAAGCAAAUAAAUUUUGAGAAAUAAAGCCCAAUCCAAACAAAGCCUGAAGGAAUGAUACUCUAAGAUGACUACAGAAAUUUUCUAGCUGGUUAUACAACAUAUUAAUAGUUGAAUGUUGACCUCACCAGCCAUCCCUCAUUCCUUGUCGCAUCCUUUUUAUGAAUUGGAUUCAUCUAUUUGGUGUUCUAAAAUCACAUUUAAAAGUUUUUUUUUUUUUGCGAAAGUGUUAUUAUUCAGGAUGUGUAUGAUAAUUUAAAAUUUUAAUAGUGGACCUAAAAAUAAAACUUGUAAAUUUUACAUAUGAGCCUACCUACUUUUAAAAUAGAGGGAAAAAAACAUCACAUAACUUCAAGUCCAAGAUUGUAUGCAGUUUGUCCAAUAAAUAGAUAUUCAUAAUUCAUAAUUUCAUAUACACAUGUUAACUAGAGAUGUCAAUCACAACCCAAUUAUAUUGAUCCGUUCAAAACCGUUCACUAAUAACCCAUCCAAAUUCACUCAUUAAAAUUUAAAUGGGUCUAAGUGAGUACCUAAUUAAAUCCAUUUAAUUGGUGGAUAGUUGAUUGAUUUGACUCACCCAUUUAUAACCAUUUAAAAAAAUAUAUUUUUAAACUCAAUUUUUACUAAGUGUUAAGAAGAUAAAUUUGAAUUUCCUACAAAUCUAAUAACAAUAAAAUAUCAUUUUUCUUGUUAAACGACAUGCAAAAAAUUUUAAAAAAAAUAGAAUUUCAAAUCAGUGUAAAUGGGUAAUUAAGUAUUUUCAUAUCCAUUUAUUAAAUAGAUAUAAAUGGAUUGAUUCAAUUAUAUCUAUUAUCCAAUUAAAAUUUGCUCAAACCUGUACAAGUCACUCAUUUUUAUGCUUCUAAUGUUAAUAUAUAUUCACAAGUGAAGAGUGCAGCAUUGACAAGGAAGAUAUACUUAUUUAUCCCAAUAUUAUAGUCAUUUUUUUCAUUACAAAAGUAUUGAUAAUUUCAUAAUUUCAUCAUCAGUGACAUAACAUUACAUGAAUUUCAACGAAGUAUGUAAUCAGUGACAUGACAUAACAUGUCAUCAUUAGUCUUCAGCGGUGAAUCUUAUCACGAGGCUUCUUUUCGAAGCUUUGAUUAUGGCAUACACUUCUGACAAAUGUCCCUUUUAGAAUAGGGAUAAUUUCUGUGACCAGGCUUUCUUUCAAAGCUUUGAUUAUGGCAUACACUUCUGACAAUGCCCCUUUUAGAAUAGGAUAAUUUCAGAAACCUCCCAGGGUUUGUAACAAUUCAUCGAACUUUUUGAAAUUUUUAAUAUUACACUUAUCUCCCUUUAUGAUAGACAAUAAUUAUAAUAACCUUCAUAAUUUUUUCAAAGACAAGCUAUUGAUAAAAAAGAUAAAAAAAAAUGAAAACAAUUCUUCUUGCUAAGCCUCAUAUUGGACUAAAUUGUUUCACCCAUAACCACUAAAUUGUAAUUUCUAUUACUCAGAAAAGAAGCAUUUUGGUAAUUGAGGGGCUUGGUUGUUUGAGUGGGAAAAGGGUAAGAAUUGUGAAUUUUAUGAUUGACGGUUUGGUAGACAACAUAUGGAAAAAACUUAUAGAGAGGUAAAAAUUAUAAAGAUAAGAAUUAUGAUGAUGGAUUUUGACAUCUAAAAUAUCGAGCUUGUUCGAAAAAAGGAAGAAAUGAUAAGAUCGAGUUUGAAAACUUGGGUAGAUGUAGAAAAUUAUGAGAUGAAAAAUAUUAGGACAUUGUCUAAGUAAUAAAACUCAUAGGUUUAUAGUAUACAAGUGUAUUCUUGAUUUUGAAAAAAUUUUAAUGACUAUUCAUAUUUUGAAAAUUAGAUAAGGGCAAUUUUGGACAUUCAUAUAUUUUUCUGGUCUUACAUCAUCAAGGUGAAACUCAAACCUAUGUUUUAGUAAAUGUAUGUGUAAUUUUCAAAAAGUGAGGAAAGCUGUCUGAAAUUAUCAGAAACCUCAGGGGUGAUUUAUGAAAUUAUCCCUAAUUUUUUUUUUGGUACAAAAAACUCCAAAAUAAUAUGUCCCACACUCUGUGCCACACUCUGUGCCACUUUUUAUUAUAUUGCUAUUUUUCCUACAUAAAUAACAUGUUUUAAUUCUUUUUUGCUUUCUUAAGAUCCAAUAACUAUUAAUUAAGUAAAAAAUAAAUACAACAACUUCAAAAAAGCAAUAUAUAAUAGAAAAUUAAAAAAUACAGCAGAAAAUUCAUAAAAAAUCUCAUUUUUAUAUAUUUUGAUUUUUUGACUUUGUUAAAUUUUGUGUAUUACUCAAUUAAUAGUUAUUGGAUCUUAAGGAAGCAAAAAAGAAUUAAAAUAUGAUGUUUAUGUAGGAGAAAUAGUAAUAUAAUAAAAAAUGGGACAGGCACAUGGUGUGGGACAAAAGGUCCGUUGCACCAAAAAAGUGGCAGUUCAAACUGGAACCAUCUCCUAUUUUCGCAAGUCCUCCCGCCGGCGGCCCUGGGUCAUCUAUAAAAGUAUAGACCAAGACAACACUAAUCCCUCAUCAGUCCACUCCAUACUUCUUCUUCAAGCCUCAGCAACGAAACAAUAAACUCUGCUCCACUCAACUCUUUCCUCUGUGUCUUGUGCUCUUGUCUGAAAAUGGGCGGCGUCAGAAGAAGUGAAAGUGCCAAGAAUCAAGCUGGGGUCGCAAGGUUUUGAAGUUUCAGCUCAAGGGCUGGGCUGCAUGGGCAUGUCAGCCUUCUACGGGCCGCCAAAGCCCGAGCCUGAUAUGAUCAAACUCAUCCACCAUGCUAUUUGCAGAGGAAUCACCCAUCUUGACACCUCCGAUAUCUAUGGACCUCACACCAACGAAAUACUCAUUGGCAAGGUACCAUAUUUGCAAAUUUUCUGCUGUUGUCUGCUAUGCGUAAACUCUUGUAAUUUUAAUUUCUAAAAGAGCAUAUUUUUAAAUAUUUUAUUUAGGUAAAUUAUACUUAAUCCCUUGCACUUCAAAAUUUGUCUCCCUUUGUGCCCCCUUAAUUUUGUUUGUCAGCACUUAAACUCCACUUGUUUAAAUUGUAAGUAUUAUUAGUCAAAUAUGACAUUGUUCUUCUUCAUUUUUUCAUGUUACUGCCUUUUCAGUUUGUCCUCCUUUAUAAAUAUGGGAUGAAUUACUUUGAUUUUGAUUUUGGUGCAAUUUUGUAUAAAAUGAUUUUUGCUAUGAAGUUAUUGAUUUAUUAUGAGCUAUGCGUUGUAUAUUUACACAAAUUCUGCUAGUUAAACAUUCACUUGAGCAGGCCUUCCAAACAUGAGCAAUAUAAUUCUCUAUGGGUGCAUUUGGUAAAAUUGACGAUUGAAAAUUGAAAUCUAAUUUAAAGUCUGAAUCCAUAAAAUUAUUAAUUUGUUAAGUACUAAAUUUGAUACGUUUGAGUGCAUGUCAUGUCAAGUGAUCACAGAAUAACUCAUCACUUAUUUUUUAAAGCAAGUUUUGCUUAAGAAAUUCAGUGCCAUUUAAUUAAUUUAGAUAUUCAAUGUUUAAUUAUCAAACAUAUAUGAAUAUAUUAACAUCUGAAUCUAUUAAUUUUAAGUGCUGAAUUGGGUUAUCAAACAUGACCUAUAAUUAUUAGGUAACCAAGCAGACAACAUGUUUAGUGUAUAAUAGUAAUUAACUUUCAAUUUGUGUCGUUAUUCUUUGGUAAAGAACUCUUAGAAUUAUUAAUAAUAAAUUUCUCAUACACGGGAAUCAAAAUAAUUGAAGUUUUAUCUCUACCAUUGAGAUAUGUUGCCAUCUAAAAGAAAGGAAAGGGAAGGAAACAUGGGGGAAAAUAGGGAAAGGGCAAAGUGAUGAUAAAUAAAAUUGGAAGUAGCAAAAUGAGACAAAUGAAUUAUUGCAAGGGGUUAAGUGUAAAUUAUGUUUAUUUUAUGAGACCAUUUAGGCAGAAAGACUGGACCCUUUUAACGCGCCAAUCAAAAGUUCCAAUUGCUGAAAAUAACAUAAAAACUUGACUUUGUUUGGUUUGGCGUUUUUGGAGGUGGUUCAUGAAAAUUUUAUUGUAGUUUUUUUUUUCAUCUUGAAAAAUAUACUUUUUUCAUCAAUUUAUGGAAAGUUUACAAUUUCUCUGAUAACAGAUGGUAAAAUUUACUUUUUACGAGCACUGAAGUUUUAAAGAUUAUGAAAAGAGAAUUGUAUGAAGGAAUAGAAGGGAAAAGAAGGGUAAGAAAAUGGAUGGAUUGUGUUUGGAUUGAUUUUGGAGGGGCAAGGAGAGGAAACGGAGAGAAAAGGAAAUGGAUGGAUUGUGUUUUGCUCAGACAUCAUUUCCAUACAAAAGUAGAUAGAAACAGAGGGAAAGAAAAUCUUGUUGAUGAUUUUCUAGUAAAAUGCCUCGAGCACCCAAAUUUUACAUAAACUUGCCAUUUGUGAAACCUGCUUUAGAUAUGAAUUGUGGGAUGCAACAGCAGGCUAGGAAUGUUUGACGAAGCAACUUGUGUAGAUAUUUUAUCGUUAAGUAAAGAGAAAAACUAUUCCUUUCAUGUCUGUCGUUCUACCAAACAGCAUAUUAGGUUUUCUUUCUUUCCCAUUCAUAUCUAAUCCAAAUAAGACAAAUGAGAACUAUUUUCUCUACUCUCUUUCCUUUCUUUUUCACUAGCAUGUUUUAUUUAUUUAUUUAUCCUUUCCUUUGAUCCAAAUGGUUCCUAAAAGGCCACUAAUUAUUCUACAUUGACCAGUUCCCUAUUUUUGUAUUAAUUUGCAUGUGCACGAUUCUGUGUAUGUUCAUGUUGUGCAUCAAAUCUUGUGAAUGACAAAGCUAGAGUGUAAAUUUAAGUUGAAGAAAUAUAAAACAAAAAAGAAAAUGGAUUGGCUCCUUUAAGAGUAUCAGACUUCUAAACCCCAAGGAUUACAUAAUUUUCAUAUCCUUUGCGAUACAAAGAAGUGGCAUAGCCUUAACAAUGAAGUGUUGGAAAAACUCCAGAAGGAAUGUGCCCAUCCAUGAAAUCCCAAAUCGGCUUGCUGUACCAUGCAGUAAUGUGUAUGUCCUUGAUGAUUAACAUAAUGAAAUCAUGGUUCUAGGCCUUGAAGGAAGGAAUAAGAGCGAAAGUGGAGCUAGCAACAAAAUUUGCAAUCAGUUAUCAGGAUGAGAAGUUUGAUGUACGUGGUGAUCCAGCCUAUGUGAGGGCUUGUUGUGAAGCGAGUUUGAAGCGGCUUGAUGUGGACUGCAUUGAUCUCUAUUAUCAACAUCGCAUUGAUACACGUGUGCCCAUUGAAGUCACGGUUUGCUCGUCUUGCCUUUCUUGUUUUUUAGCUCCACCUCAUUCUUGAUGAAACAAAAGUUUGAUCAACUCCAAAUUUUGAAUAAUUCAGUUUCAUGUCCGUUUCAAUUCUUCAAAAGUUGCACAGAAAAGUUAGUCAACCUUAUGGUCUCGGCUAAUCUGCAGUAUGGUAUAGCUGAUUUUGCACAAGGCAUCCUGAAAAGUGAAAACAAUGAAUAUGUCUUAUAUUAGCUUUGGCUGUCCUGCUGAGGGAUAUACAGGUGGAAAUCAUGCUAUACAUUGUACAGCUUUCCUUUAGAACCAAGAAACCCGAGCAUUCUCUUUCAAUUGAGAUAGGCUAUCUGGUUGAGUAAUGAUCUGCUAUUUACUUACCUUGUCAACCAUUUUCAGUUGGUGCCUAAAGCACUGCAGAUAGACAUUUAUUAUUGAUAUCUAAAAAACAUGGUACUCAUUUUGUCCAGAGCACAGCUUUUUGUCUAAUUGUCAAAGCCAGCUGCAACUGCCCCAUUGACCUCUCCAGACAAUUCAAAGAUUUCAGCAGCUUGCUUACAUUCAGCUUUUAUGAAACAAUUUCUGUCUUCUUUUUCUCAUGUAAUCAGCAAAGAAUUGUCUUGGUUUCCCUGAGUAUUAGAUAGAAACUUUCUUGCAGUUUAAUCACUCAAAAUACAAGCAAGUAUAAGGAAAUCAAGCAAAAUUGGCAACUGAUAAUUGGUAUGUACGGCCAUUAUUAUAUAUAGAAGUCAACAAUGCCAUGUAAUCAUAUUGGAGGAGCAUUAUGUUGGCAUGGUCCAGUAGAACUAAGUCCUCCGGUGGGCUGUACAUAGAGAACUAUCACUGGAUGCUGAUUGCCAUUUUCAUCAAUUAGUGAUUUCAGUUUGAUGUAUACUUUGUCCACGACAUCGUUGAACUAGUGCAACUUUUACUUUUUGCACGUAAUAUUUCGAUUAUCUGCCUAAGUGUUGAAUGUAAUAAAUCAGCUUAGCAUCUUCUUGUCCAUUGAAAUUCUCUAGAUAGGAGAGCUCAAGAAACUGGUUGAAGAGGGUAAAAUAAAGUAUAUAGGUCUGUCUGAGGCCUCAGCUUCAACAAUUCGAAGAGCACAUGCUGUUCAUCCAAUAACAGCUGUACAGUUGGAGUGGUCAUUGUGACCAGAGAUGUCGAGGAAGAGAUUAUUCCCACUUGCAGGUAGUGCAUAUAUUCUGCUGCAUUUUCUACAUGGUCUAGAAGAAAUAUUAAGUUCUCAAUUCAGUUUUUGGUAUAAUCUUUCAGAGAGCUUGGCAUAGGGAUUGUUGCAUACAGUCCACUUGGACGAGGUUUCUUCUCAUCAGGUCCAAAGCUGAUUGAGAAUUUGGCUGAAGGUGACUACCGAAAGGUUUGUGCAUAUCGAAAAAGAUGGAGUUUUUGAGUAUACAUUGUUUAUAGUUCGAAUAAGUUUCUCACUCAUCUAUUUUUACCACAUUCAGUGGCAAUCAUGCUUGAUAUCAAAAGAGGAAGAAACUAUGUCACUUUUUAAGUAAAAGUCUCUUUACGGUUUUGAAGGGAAAAGGACCUUAGACUUCAAUUUCAUCAUUUAAUCUCAGGCACAGAACUUAUGCUGUCCUGUGAAACUAUCAUUUUUCCUUUACCAUUAAUCCUAAAACUGAGUUUCAUUGGUCAGAAAUAUACUUCAUAGUAGUACCUCCUCUAGCGUUCAUCGUAGUACCUCCAUCGUUCAAACAAACAAAAAUUAGUUGAUUUGUAUUUUAAGUUUCCUCUUUGAUGGGAAAUGUAUCUCAGAACUUAACUCCAACGGUUGAUGCUUCCUCCGUGGAGUAUUCAGUCGAACUUGAUGCAUUGUUCUUUCCCCUGAACUUGUGCCCUUCAAACAGUAUUUCUGAUCAUCUUGAAGUAAUUAGUACCGUCUGUUCAUUACUCCCUCCCGAUUUCUUGCAUUAUAGCUUCCUCUUUAAUGGGAAAUGUAUCUCAGGAUCUACAUUCUACAAUUGAGGUUUCUUAGAGUACUCAGUCCACCUUACUGGAUUGUUCCUUCCCCUGAACUUUGUACACCUUAAACAAUACUAUCGAUCAUUUUGAAGUUAUUCAUAUUGUCUUCAUUUGUAGAUGACACAUGCUUUGCUCCCUUUUGAAUUUCUGGCAUUACAGUUGCUUAAAUUUUGAAAUUCAUACAAUGUAGGAUAUGCCAAGGUUUCAAGCAGAGAAUUUGGAGCAGAACAAGAACUUGUAUGAGCGGGUCAAUGCCAUUGCUUCAAGAAGGGUUGUACUCCAUCACAGCUAGCAUUGGCCUGGGUCCAUCACCAAGGCAAUGAUGUUUGCCCCAUACCUGGCACUACCAAGAUUGAGAACCUCAAUCAGAAUAUAGGAGCUUUGUCUGUAAAACUGUCAGCAGAGGAAAUGGCGGAACUUGAAUCUUUUGCUUCUGCGGGAGUCAAGGGUGAUAGGUAUGGGCCUGGCCUUGGUACUUGGCAAACUUCUGAAACUCCACCUUUGUCAACCUGGAAGAGAACAUGAAGACAUACUUUGUUAUUGCAAUAAUUCCUUCUAGCUAUGUGCCUGAUGGUGGAUUCCACUAUAUUAAGAGUUGAGUGAUAUGUAUUUGUUCCAAUAAAGUUUGACAUACUAUUGUCUCUAGGGUUAAGGCAAGUAAAGUUAUAAGAAGAAUGGAGUUUCUUCAGAGGUUGUAAUGAAUAAAUAUCUGGUCAUGUAAAAGCAGAAUAUAAUUUUCCUUGCAGUUGAAUGCAUUAAAGGUUAUAUAUUGUACUUUUGAAUGCUAUAGUGGUCCAUUUUUUAUGUGCUACUGCUACGAGAGUUAUAGAUUGUCGAACAGCAUUCAAUUCAGGACUUAUUAAACAUAAGCAUAUAAACAUUUUAUGCUCGGAAUAUUUACAUCAAAAGAAACUCCAAGGUCACAUCAUUGUAAAGUGUAAACUACAUCAUAUUAACAAAAAGCAAAAAAAAAAAAAAAAAGGUCUAAAUGAGGAAAAAAAUGUACUAUAGAAGUAGUCAACAAUGUCAUGUAAUCAUUUGAUCCUAAAAUUGAGAUUAAAAUUUAGUUGAUUUGUAUUUUGAGUUUCAUCUUUGAUGGGAAAUGUAUCUCAGAACUCAACUCCAAUAGUUGAUGUUUCCUACUUGGAGUACUCAGUCCACCUUGAUGCAUUGAUCUUUCCCCUGAACUUGUGCCCGUCAAACAAUAUUUCUGAUCAUCUUGAAGUAAUUAGUACCAUCUGUUCAUUACUCCCUUUUGAUUUCUUGCAUUAUAGUUUCCUCUUUAAUGGGAAAUGUAUGUCAAGAUCUACCUUCUACAAUUGAGAUUUCUUAGAGUACUCAGUCCACCUUACUAGAUUGUUCUUUUCCGUGAACUUUGUUCACUUCAAACAUUACUAUGAUCAUCUUGAAGUUAUUCGUAUUGUUGUCUUUUGUAGACGACACAUGCUUUACUAAUUACUGCACUUUGAAUUUCUGCAUUGCAGUUGCUUAAAUUUUGAAAUUCAUACAAUUUAGAAUAUGCCAAGGUUUCAAGUAGAGAAUUUGGAGCACAACAAGAAGUUGUAUGAGCGGGGUCAAUGCCAUUGCUUCAAGGAAGAGUUGUACUCCAUCACAGCAAGCGUUGGCCUGGGUCCAUACCAAGGCAAUGAUGUUUGUCCCAUAACUAGCACUACCAAGAUUGGAAACCUCAAUCAGAAUAUAGGAGCUUUGUCUGUAAAACUGUCAGCAGAAGAUAUGGCUGAACUUGAAUCUAUUGCAUCAGCUAGAGUCAAGGGUGAUAGAUAUGAUCCUGGCCGUAUCAAGGGCAGAGGUUAUGGGAUCUGAUUAUGGGCAACUGAUUAUGGAAUCUAUUCUAUCAUAAUUGCAAAGAUUAUGACUGAAAUUAUGGGAUCUGCUCUAUCAUGUAUAUUAGCUGUAUAUUAGCAUAUGUGUCAUUAAUAUAUCAGAUAGGUAGAUAUAUUCUUACAUAGAAUAGAAUGUACAGAGUUUCUAUUUAAUGGAAAAGAUGCACAAAAGACAGCAUUCAGUCUUUGAUCUAGAAAAUUGUCAUGGUAUCAGAGCUGGUUAUUUGAAUUUCUGUGUCUUUCAAAAUUUGCUGAGUUGUUAUUCUUCUUGGGUUGAUUAUUUUGAUCAAUCAUUUGGUUUCAAGAUAUCAUUUUGGGUCAAUCAUAUUGUGGUUGGCAGCCUUUCUUGUAAUUCAGAUCUUUGUUUUUUUGAAAGUAUGUCUGUGGCAAACUCUUUGGGAAAAACACAUACGGAAUCUUUGUCUAUCAAGUUCAUUGGGAAAAAUUAUGCAGCAUGGGAUUUAGAAUGUUUCUAAAGGCAAAGAGCUUUGGAGUCAUAUUGAUGGGUCUUCUACAGAACCUAGAGAUGGAAAAGAAUUUAGUCAAUGGGAGGCAAAGGAUGCUAGAAUUAUUUCUUGGAUUCUAGCAUCUAUUGAAGCUCAUAUGGUGAAUAAUUUACACUCCUUUAAUACAGCAAAGGAGAUGUAGGAUCAUUUGAAGCGUGUAUAUCAUCAAGAUAAUACAGCAAGAAGAUUUCAACUUGAAUUGGAAAUUAGUAACUACGGCCAAGAUAACCUCUCUAUUAAGCAGUAUUAUUCUGGAUUUUUUAAUUUAUGGAGCGAAUACUCUGGUAUAAUCUAUUCUAAGGUACCAAGCGAAGCCUUAGCUGGUAUUCAAGCAGUUCAUGAAGUUAGUAAGCGUGACCAGUUUCUAAUGAAACUAAAGCUUGAAUUUGAAGCGGUCAGAGCUGGAUUGUUAAAUAGAAAUCCAAUUCCUUCUUUAGAUGUAUGUCUUGGUGACUUGUUGCAAGAAGAACUGAGAAUGGCUACACAAACUAUCAUAGGUGCAUCGAAGGAGAUAUCCGAAGUUGUCAAUAUUGCCUAUGCUGCUCAAGGGAGGAAUCGCGAAAAGGGACAAGUACAGUGCUUAAAAGCAGUCUGUUUGCCAGACACAUGGUGAGCCACAUUUAAAAAUUGGUUUCUAUCAUAAAGCCUAUCAUGUCCGGACAGAAGAUGGACUGUUUUUUAAAUUUUUUAUGAAAGCAAGUGAAAAGUGUUGCAACUCAGGACUUGGAUGGUAAUUCUAAAAUUUAUUAGUGCACCUACCUUUUAACUUUUGGUGUGCUUUUAAGGUAUCAAAUGGGGGAAAAAAAACCAACACCAUAUAACUUCAAAUGCAAGAUGGUACGAAAUUUGUAUCCAUUGACAUGUAAAAAGUGCACCGUUCAUCACAAAGAUAUUUAUCCUAAUAUUUAGAUUCAUUUUUUCAAAAAUUUCAACUUUGCAUGCAAACAUGUAAUCAAUAUGCAUAAAUAGAUAGCAUUAGAUGAAUUUAAACAAGUAGCCUUCAAAUUUAAAAUAUAUUGAUUUCAUAAAGGUGCAUUCGCAAUUUAGAAAAGGACUUUUCAAAUGGCAAAUCUAGAGAGCAAUAAAUACUCCUACUUUAUUUUGAUUUCAAAUCUUAUUUUGACUUGUCAAAAAAGUGAAACACGAAACCAAUAAUGGUCGAUACAAGGCUAAUUACUCAGAAUAUCGAUGUAAAAAUAUUGGACAUAUAUGAUUUUGACAAUGGGCAUGUAUAAAACUAUUGCUGUAAGGUUGUGUCAGCCCGGCAGCAAAAGAGGGUUUUUUUUAAAGCCUGCCAUUGCCACCGAGCUGACACGGCUCGGCAGCAAUAGUUUAAUUUUUUUUAAACGCUGCCGGGCCUUGUCAGCCAGAUAGAACAAAAAAAAAAAAUUUUUUUUAAACACAGCCGGCAGCGGGCAACAUUUGCAAAAAACUUUAAAAAGCUGGCUGCCGGGCUACGACAGUUCAAAAGAUUUUGCUAUCCGCCUACAACACCAGGUGAUAAAGAUAAGGGCAAAGGCGUACCGGGCAUUGAUAUGAUCAUUUCCGGUGCAUGUUUUAAAAUUUCAAAUAUUUGAAUAUGGGGAUUUAGCGUUAUUUUAAUCUUUUAUUAUUAUAAUGCUUGUCGUUAUUUUUAAAUUUCACAAUUUCAGCAUGUCAUGUUGCAUUUUUCCUUCUUUUUUUUUUUGCCUAUUUUGUUUUUAUAUUGCACAAUAACUUUAUAUUUAUAAAAUUAUAUUGUACAUUAAAAAUUACAUAAUAAUUUUAACAAACAAUUUUCCGGUACAAUUUGAAAACUGCAUCUUAUUGUAAAAUGAAAGAGAUUUUUUGUUUAAAAAAACCUUUUUUUAGUUUUUUACCUAUCGGAGUAAUUAUUAAUUUUACAAAUCUGUUUUCAUCUUUUUCUUACGUUCCAACUUUGAAACGUAAUUUAAUUAACUUAAAAGACUGUCGGGUUUAGUAUGUCAGGUAUCACACUUGUUGUAAUUAAAAAAAAUUUUCUUCUUAUUUUUUCAUUUUUUUGUUUUUAUAUUGCAAAAUAAAUUUAUACAUUUUUUCGAUUUUUCUAUACAAUUUAUAACAAAAAAAAAUAAUAUCAAAUAUUAUACAUUGUAAUUUUAACAAUUAUUUUGCAACGGUUUAAAAAACCUUUUUUAGUUUAACAUCCUAUAUAUUUUACGAAAAUGAUUUGAAUAUUUUUUAAUCAUUUAAAGAAAAGAUAGAUUUCUACAAUUACUAUUUUUUAAAUUUUAAUCCUUAAGAUAAAGAUUUUUGCGGGAAAGAUGAAGAUUUAAAGAAACAAUAAAGAGGCAAAGAAAAUAAAAGAGAAAAAUAGGAGAGGUAAUUUUGUCCAAUGGAGGAUAUAAUGAGACAGAAAAAUUCCGAUGAGGAUAAAGUAAAAAAAGAGAUAUAUUUUAAGGACAUUAAUUGUGAUUAACCCUAUUUCUUAUGCUCAAUUUGUAACUGGUCCAAAGCAUCAAAAGUAGCGUCCGCCUCCCAGGUGAUGAAUUCAUGGUCUUGAAUGUCCAAUAACCUAAGAAGAGUAAAAAGAUCACUUUAAAGUUGCUCCACACCCUACAAAUGCUUCUGAUACUAACUUUCUCGUCAUAUUAACAAAUGCUCCGCACCUUAAUGCUUCAGCACCCGUAAAAAACGUGUUUUUGCAACUGGUCCAAGAGUUGAACCCUUCGCUCAGAGUUACUUCUGGAUGUUGAAAAAAAACAUUUCGAUCACUUGAAUCUAACCUCCGCGUCUAAUCAAGCCAGAAGGCCAGCUUUUUUUUCACUGACCCUUCACGUGAACCUUCUGAGAACUUAUCUCAAGGGAAACUUUUAGUGGUUCAGUAGAAUUUUUUUUAAUCCUCUUACAUGUUUCAUUCGUAUCUCUCUACUUCAUGUCCGUGCAUUGUUGAAUUCUGAAGUGCAGGUCUUCUUUCGCCCGUAUUGUUAACCUUCUUUUUCAUGUUCAUUGAAGCACAGCAUUCUUUUUUUUUGAAAUUUUUUUUAAAAUUGGACUAGCUGCUGGACUGAGCUUUUUAAAGUUUUUUGCAGAUGUGCGUCAGCCCGGCAGCCAGCGAAUUAAGAAAAAAAAAAUUUUUUUGAGGCCGGCAGCGUUUAAAAAAAAAAAACUAUUGCUACCGGGCAAGCUUUAAAAAAAAAAAAAAAACCCUAACAGCAAUAUUUUUAUACAUGCCCAUUGUCAGAACCAUAUAUGUCCAAUUUUUUUUUCAUCGAUAUUCUGAGUAAUUAGCUGAGAUAGAGAGGAGUAUUAGAAAUUUGUUUUCUAGAUUCUUUGGUCUCCCAAUUUUUUCAACGGUCAACUCCGAUCAUUAUUAUCACAGUCAUGUGAUUGUAGGUCUACCACGCUUCAUAGUCCACAACGUGGAUUGGCACCACAAAGGAUGGUUUCAAAACACCAUUUUAGUCUAGUAAGGAUUGUGUAUAUAACACAAGUCUUUUUAGGUUUUCCCUCCCCUGUAAUCUAAAAUAAAAUAAAUAGGUUAUACAAUUGUUAUAGUCUUCAGAAAAAAAGGAUAGGUCCCACCCUAUUAUUAUUAUUUUUCUUUUAUAAUCAACAACGCCUAUUCUACACCUAUUUCAACUUCUAUUCUAGGGGAACGGGAGUUCAACUGAAAAAUUAAUGGUGAUUGAACCACGAACGGACCAAAAACUUUCAAGAUAAAAUUUGAUCUAAAAAUAAAUAAUAAUAUAUUAACUUAUUAUUUAAUGCGAUACAUAUUCAAAUAUAUUAAAUUUAAUAAUUUAAUAAAUUUUAAAUUUUACAUUUUAAAUUUUAAUUUUCAACCUUCAAUGUUGCCGUACUUACAACAACAACUUCUAGAUGGUCAACACUUAGAGUCGUAGCCCUUGCUUUUGGCAUACCCUAGUCCCUAUUUCUGUUGUUAUCAAUGAGGAAGCAAAUGUCUGCUAUUAAUUACACGAGACAUCAGUAGGUUUGUUUGGAUUGGAGGUUAUUUGAAAUAUUUUUUGAGAUAAUUAAUGUAGUACUUUUUGUGAUGUAAUGUAUAUAAGAUAAAAUUGUGAUUGGAAAUUGUGUGGAUGCAAAACAAAAUUUUGAAAUUUUUUUUUGAAAACCUUAAUAUUAUUGGCUGCACUACAAAUCAGUCAAAACUCAAGAGAUGAUAUUAAUUGAAACAAGUGGGCAAAUUGAACGAGGAUGCGUAAUUGACAUGGAAGUCUUGGUAGACUUGGAGGUAGGCUUGUCAACGGAUUGGGUCUGGGUCGGAAUUCAUUAUUCUGGACCCGGAUCCGACAUACUAUAUUGGACUCGGAUUCGACCCAUUUAUUCGACGGGCCUUCUACUCUAUAUUCUGAAUCCGGAUCCGACGGGUCUCGGAUUCGGGUCGAGUCUACCCGAAAAAAUCUAUCAAAACUUACAAAUUCUAAUAAAAAUGAGAAAAAAAUAUAUUUGUAAACCAAUUUUUAACUAAUAAAAAAAAUCAAAUAAGAAAAAAAAUCAAAUUGACUUUACUCAAAUACAUCACCCUAAUCAAAUUAUAUUGAUAAAUAUAUAUAUAUUUAAAUUGUUAAUCCAUUUAUAUCCGAAUCCGGGUCUAAUACGGGUCGAAAUAUUAUAUUCCGUAUUCGACCCGUUUUUUGUUUGAUAAAACGGAUCCGGAUCCGGGGUCCGAGUAAUGGAAUUAAAUCCCUACUCGUACCCACAAUAAUUUGACGGAUUCGAUCCGGAUCCGGAUCUAGACUCGAACUGUUGACAGGCCUACUUGGAGGGAUCAACAUUUGAAUCUGACUUGGAUGAGGUAAGCACAAAGGUAAGCAUUUUCCAUUUUUAUUUUGGUUUUCAUUUCUUGUAUACUUUAAAACGUUUUUCAUUCUACCUCACUCACAUAUAAUAUAUAAUGAAAUGUAAAUUUUUUAUGAAAACAUAUAAAAUAUAUAAAAUGAAAAAUAAAUUUUUAUAAAAACAUAUGUUUAUAUUUUUCUUUGUAUAAUGAAAAUUUAUAAUUCAUUCUACCAAUAUAUACGCAUAUAUAUAUAUAUAUAUAUAUGUAUAAUGAAAAAUAAAUUUCUUCUUCAUCUUUAGGGCUGCACCUACAAACAACAAAACUCAGCUCCACUCAACUCUUUCCUUCAUGUUUUUUAUAAAAAACAUAUAUAUAUAUAUAUAUAUAUAUAUAUAUAUAUAUAUAUAUAUAUAUAUAUAUUAAGUUACACUAAUUGUUUUAUCUCUUAAUAAUUUUUAUUUUUUUUACUAAUAUUACCUCAUGAGAGGCAAAAAGGGUAUAAAUGGAACAAAAUUAUUAUCUCAUUUUCCAAAAGAAUUUUUUAAUGGUACUUUUUCUAACAUGGGUUGAAGCUACUAUCAAAAUCUAGUUUAGGGAAAGUUAGUGCUAUUUUUUAAAUUUUAGGGUAGAUGAGUACAACUGUUAGAAACCUCAAAAAGGGAUGGUUUCUGCAAUUAUCCCUAAAAGCAUAGACCAAGACUACACUAAACACUAAAAAUUUGACACCUAUUUCUUAUAACUAUACUAGAUAAUCUCAUAAUUAUAUAGAAAAAUAAAUCAAAAUUCAUUACACAAAAGCAUUUUUGGAUAUUUAUUUAAGAAUUUGAUCAAAUUAAUAUUAUUUUAAAGUUUUAUUACAAAAACUAUCAAAUUAAAGGAGGUAGGGGUAAUGUUUCAAACCUCACAGUGAAAUUGUUAGAAACCUCAAAGAGGUUCUUGAUAUUAUCCCUAAUUUUUUUGGGUACAAAAACCUCCAAAAAAGUGGCAGUUCAAACGGGGCCAACAUUCUCCUAUCAUCACAAGUCCUCCCGCUGACCCACUAGCCGCCGGCGGCCCUGGGUCAUCUAUUAAAGGCUUAAAGCAUAGACCAAGACUGCAGUAAUCCCUCAUAUACACAUGUUAACUAGAGGGGUCAAUCACAACCCAAUUAUAUUGAUCUGUUCAAACCCGUUCACUAAUAAUCCUUUCAAAUUCGCCCAUUAAAAUUUAAAUGGGUCUAAGUGAGUACCUAAUUAAACCCAUUUAAUUGAUGGAUAGUUGAUUGAUUCAACUCACCCAUUUAUACCCAUUUAAAAAUAAAUAUAUGACAGGGUGUCGAGCCUGUGCAAUAAUAAUUAUCUACUCAAGAAAAACACAAAUUCUGUAUAUAGCAGUGAGUAGAGUCGAAUCCACACGGACUGUAGAUAAUUCGUUUCUUUUAGAGUCCAAAGUAUGGGGGUUUUGGAGAAUAUAAAAUAACUAAUUAACUAACUAAUAAAACAACUAAUAGAAAUAAAUAGAAAUUAAUCAAUAACCAAUAUGACUCUAGCCAAAGGUGCAACUUUUCAGACACGGUCCAUUCAACUGAUCAUCGAUGCAAAGAUAAUUCAAUUACUCAUUACUAGAUUGGUUAUAAUUGUCAUACACGCGAUGAACAACCAGCCUUUUCUUAAUUUCUCGAUAGUUAAAGUACGACCGUUAACUAUUUCUCUAACCAAGUAAUAACCCUAGGUACGACCAUAGGAUUUAAUUACUCGAUUACAUUAAUAAUUAGAAAAACCCAACCCUAACCAACAAACACGCUACGAGGGUUUGUUUAAAUUAGAUCAUACGUUUCCCUAACAUGAAACCAAUCACGCUAGUCGCCACUGGUAUUAAUCAAUUGAACAAUUACGGAUUCAAUCAAUUAAUUUAGCAUUAGAUCAUUAAGUUAAUUUGAAUAUCGGGCCCUUGACAUUCAAAUAACAUAACAAACAUAAGCAAUUAAAUCAGGAAACGUAAAAAUACCAAUGAAUAAAAGAAAUAAAUAAAAUUAAUUCGAUCUCACAGAUAUUUGGAACCGCGCCUUCAAAUUGGCCUUCGACUAGAUGAAAGGUUUAGUUCAUCUACAUGGAGGAAACCCCAUGUGAAAUUGCAGAAGUAAUUAUUCUAAAACAAAGCUAUGUUUUCGUCCUCCAUUGAAGAAAACGGCAAAGCUAUAUAUAAAGUAAUGAAUACGAAGGAACUACCUAGAAGCAAAAACAAAACGAAGCUCUCCUAUUCUAAAACAAAAACUACUUGUCUAGUGGUCCCCGCCGAAUUUAGAUAAAAGGGUGCAAUCCGUCAGAUCAAGCUUUGCCGACUUUUUCUCCUCUUUGUUGCCUAUUGCUAGGCAAAGACUUCAGUGCCCAGACCAUUCCUAAUCAGUGAAAAGAAAAUGCACUCCCUCUGCCGCACUCUGUGGGCCAGGUUGUUGAAGCUCUUUGGAGUCUCCUAUGUGUGGAGCUGUUUUAUCCUUCAGAUGGUCUCGCUCUUUUUUUUCUUUUUAUUUUCUUUUGUGUACUUUUCUGCUCCAUUCCUGAAAUGAGAUCCAAAUACCAAAUAUAAAUAUAUAUUAACAAUUAAACAAUAUUUAGUAAGGACAGAGGGGAAAUUAAUAAUAAAAUAAUCAAUAAUUAACACCCUAUCAAUUCCCCCCACACCUAAAUCAUACUUGCCCUCAAGCAUGGGGACGACAAAUAACACCAAAAUUUGAAAAUGGGUAUUGCCCCAUCUACCCUAUUGUCAAGAUACCAAGGAAAACAUCUAUCAAGCAUCAGUGAUCAGGGUUCAAGAAACAUCACCCCAAUUAGCUUCUAAACCACAAACUCCUCCAAUUUAAGACAAACUAAUCUAAGAAAAAGGAAUGGUUGCUCACAUUUAUCAACAAAUGGUCCAACUAUUAACUAAAAUCUCGAUAUUAAGAUCACAAACCGGCAAGCUGACUUAUUCACAUACUAACACAAUCUUUACUUUACUUCUUUUUUUUUUUUUUUUGAAUAACAAAAGACUUAGUCUAUAGCCCUUAGAGCCUUUUGACGCGAACUCCAACAUUUGCCAGAUGGAGAAGCCCGGUUUCUCAGCUCCAAUCGCUACGGGACCACGCACUCAUAGUAACUACUACCUUUUGAGGCGAAAAUCGACACUUUAGGUCAAGAUCCCCGAUCACUCAGUAGUAACCACUAGCGGAGUACAGUCAACUCUUAUUUACAACCAUAUAGCACGAUAACUAAAAAUAACAGCAGGCAGCCUCAAAUUUCCAAACAUGGAGAACUAAAAUUAAUAACUGGACCAAUUCACAUGAAAAAUGCCAACAAUCAUUCCCUAUGCCUAGAAAAGUUAACCAAAAAUUAGAAAAGUCAAGCAAUUACUGAUAUUCACAUGAAAAGUCAAGCAGAAGUAAGCAAAAGAGCAACUGUACUUCCCUGAAAUCACGGGGGGCAUGGCGGGGCCACAGCAGUGGGUGAGGCCGGAAAUGGUUGAUUUGGGUUGGGGUAGGCUAAGGUCGAGAGGUUCCGGACCUAGAAGAGGACUUUGAUCUCACCAUCGUCGCUAACAGGUAACCCAAUCAACAGAAACAAAAUUGCCAACAGAUAGAGGAACAAGUAAAUCUAGAUCAAUAGAAAUCAAUAUCCUCAAGUGAAGUCAACAAUCAACCCAAUAAGCACAGGUAUCUUCCAAUUUAAAAGGGUAGUGCACAAUAAAUGGCCCACCAAAUUUGCAAUGUAAAGCCCUGAGCAAUUCAAUCAAUACCAGAAAAUCGCCCCAAACAAUGUAACAGUUAAACUCCAUGGGCCAUGGACGUCCAACCAAUUUCACUCGAACAAACUAUGAGCAGUGCGAGUGACGAAACAAAGCAACAAAUUUCAGCAAUUAGACACAAUUCCACUCAAAAUCUCAACAAAUAUCUCCAAUGGACAGUCUUACACAACUUAACCAACUGGAAUUAGCAAAUAUCCCCAAGAAACUGACAAAACAAGCAAUAGUAGUUCAAAAUUUGGACUACAACUAAAUCAAAAUGUUGUUUCAGUUUUCAAUCAGGUAGCCAACCAAGUAGAAUCAAUAAAUGUAGACAAAAUACCCCAACCAGUACCACUGGUGUAUUCCACAGAAAAGAAUUAAUUCAAAUGCCAAUCCAAACGACUGAGAAACCCUAACCAAGACCAAACCGUACCAGAAAUUAGAAGAAAUGAAAAUGGGAAUCAAUUGGCAAGCAACUCCCAAAUCAACCCCAAAGAACUCCCAAAUAAAUGAAUUAUCAGAGGUGCCUUCAAAAACCAAAUACCAAAAAUGCAUAAAAACUCCCAACCAAUUCAACGGGAAAAACAAAAUUAAGCAAAUCACCUCCUGUGUUUAUCCAUCAAGGAACAACCCAAAAGCACAAAUUCCAGUAACUGAGGAUUCAGGAAAAAUGCCAAAACAAGGGUAGAAAGUUAAUACCUCCACCUGUCAAUUUUGACAGGUAGUGAUGCGCGGCAAGGAGGUGGCGCACGAGGUGGUGGCGAGCUUUGGAAGAUGAGUUGGCGAUAGAGGCUGUCAGCUACGCGUGCGACUGUGCGCACAAUGGGAGGAGAGAGGCGCGGCGAGCUGGUGGACAGCAGCAGCGGCACGGGCUGGUGGCAGUGGCUGUGGAGCGUGGGCAGGCGGCGGUGCGCAGCUGGUCAACGAAGGAGGAGAUGGGCGGCGCUCGGGCUAAGGAGAGAGUGAUUUGGGGGCUGUGGCGGCGUGGGGUGGAGUUGCGGCGGCGGUCAAAGGCACUGGUGAGUGGAGGUGGCGGGAUGGAGCUUGGAACGGAGGAGCUCAGCGAGCUGUGGGUGGACGGCCGUGGGCAGGGGAGCAGCGGCGGCCUUUGGAGCUGCUGAAGGUGGUCCGUGAGGUGGAGCUUGGAGCUCGGAGGCGGCGGCGAUGGAAGCUAGUCAGCGGCGUGCGGCAAUGGAUGAGAAAGGGAGACUGGUGGCGUCGGGCUAAGGAGAGAGUAAGGGAGAUGAUGGCGGAUGAGCGAAAGAAAAGAAGGAAAGGGAUACAGGGCAGCGAGGAAGAAGAGGAAGAAAAGGGAAAGAAAGGAAAGAAAAAAGAGAAGAAAAAGGAAAAAGAAAAGAGAGAAAGAAAAAAAGAAAAUAAAAUGGUUUUGGGGUUUUUUUUCAAUAUUUUUUUUUCAAUUUUUUCCCUAAUUUAAAUUUUCAAAAUUUGAAUUUUUGAAGAAAAAAAGAAAGAAAAAUGCUCUUUGAAUUUUUGAAUUUUCUCAAUGUGAAAUUUUAAAUUUUUUUUUGGUUUUGGAUCGUCAAACACCGCGUGAGCACGCCAAGAUUACACUUCCUGGUCACAGUAGAGGAAAAUAUUAAGACGACUACCACCCAAAUGAGAAAUGACAAAAUGAAAGUAAUGAACAAUGAAAAACGAUAAAACUAAUAUUUGGGUUGCCUCCCAAAAAGCGCCUUUCUUUUAUGUCUUUGGCCAGACAUUGCCAUAUUUGUUUAGGGAGGAUAAAAUCUUGUACCUCGGUUUAAUGUUUCAUCCUCUAUAUAGUCCUGAUAACCCUCGUAAAUAGAGUAAUUCUUGAACACAUGAGCUACGGUCUUCCCUGGACUAGUAAAUGGUGCCAAACAAGUCAACAAUAAGUUGAAUUUUCCAUUCACUCCUCCAUCACUUGCAUUUAUUGGUUUAAGAUAUCUUGCCAUCGCCACUCUUAAUUUAUUUCUGUCAUGAAAUUCGAAAUUUUCUGAUAUAAUAAAAUCAAUUUCAUUAACAGGAAUUGAAGAAUAAGAGUUAGAAGAAUAUUGAUGAAGGAAUGCGAUGUCACCGCAUUUGAAGAUUGUUCACUGGUUUCAUUCACUUGAACGAGUUGAUACUGGGGCAUUAUUUCUUGCACUUCACCUUUUUUUUCAACUGCAUCUUUAGAUCCGUUUUCUUGAAACUCUUGCAGUUCCAUGUCAUUUGACGGGAUAACUGCACUCUCAUCCUCUUCAAGGUUGAUAUUGGUUUGUGAGGGCAAUUCUUCAAGGUGAGAAGCUAAUCGCUCUAUCCUGGAUGUCAAUUGAUUCAUUUGAUCCGCCGGAUCCCUAAUGCUCGCUUGUGUCUCCUGAUGAAAUCGAUAUGUAUUAGUAGCAAAUAAUUCAAUCAAUUCCUGAAGAGACAUACCUGACAUGGAUGAUGGCUGUUGAGAUUCUUGCUGUUGAAAAUCCAUUGGCCCGGUCGCAUAAUUAAAAUUGGAAUCAUCCCACCAUCCUUGAUCAUACCCGUUUGAAUAAGGAUCGUACCACGUUUGAAAUCGAGGUGAAAAAUCUCCAAAAGUAUCAAUUGGAGCACUUAGAUUAUCUUGAAAUGCGGGGCAUGUGUCGGUUGAGUAACCUGAGUCAAAAUAAGUUCCACAAUUUGCAACAGUCCAUUGACCAUUAGGAAAAACUCGAGUCUCAUAACCUCAUUCGGGAAUAAAGUCCAGUCUAUCAUCAAAAUAUGGAAUGUUAGCUACCAUAAACUAUAUAUAACAAAAAAGAGAAAAAAAAAAAACAAGAUGAACUAAAAAAAAACAAAUUAAUUAGGCACCAGUCCCCGGCAAUGGCGCCAAAAAUUGACAGGGUGUCGAGCCUGUGCAAUAAUAAUUACCUACUCAAGAAAAACAUAAAUUCUGUAUAUAGCGGUGAGCAGGGUCGAAUCCACAGGGAUUGGAGAUAAUUCGUUUCUUUUAGAGUCCAAAGUAUGGGGGGGGAGUUUUUUGGAGAAUAUAAAAUAACUAAUUAACUAACUAAUAAAACAACUAAUAGAAAUAAAUAGAAAUUAAUCAAUUACCAAUAUGACUCUAGUCAAAAGUGCAACUUUUCAGAUACGGUCCAUUCAACUGAUCAUCGAUGCAAAGAUAAUUCAAUUACUCAUUACUAGAUUGGUUAUAGUUGUCAUACACGUGAUGAACAACCAGCCUUUUCUUAAUUUCUCGAUAGUUAAGGUACGACCGUUAACUAUUUUUCUAACCAAGUAAUAACCCUAGGUACGACCAUAGGAUUUAAUUACUCGAUUGCGUUAAUAAUUAGAAAAGCCCAACUCUAACCAACAAACACGCUACGAGGGUUUGUUUAAGUUAGAUCAUACGUUUCCCUAACAUGAAACCAAUCACGCUAGUCGCCACUGGUAUUAAUCAAUUGAACAAUUACGGAUUCAAUCAAUUAAUUUAGAAUUAGAUCAUUAAGUUAAUUCGAAUAUCGGGCCCUUGACAUUCAAAUAACAUAACAAACAUAAGCAAUUAAAUCAGGAAACGUACAAAUACCAAUGAAUAAAAGAAAUAAAUAAAAUUAAUUCGAUCUCACAGAUAUUUGGAACCGCGUCUUCAAAUUGACUUUCGACUAGAUAAAAGGCUUAGUUCAUCUACAUGGAGGAAACUCCAUGCGAAAUUGUAUAAGUAAUUAUUCUAAACAAAGCUAUGUUUUCGUCCUCCAUAGAAGAAAACGGCAAAGCUAUAUAUAAAGUAAUGAAUACGAAGGAACUACCUAGAAGCAAAAACAAAACGAAGCUCUCCUAUUCUAAAACAAAAACUACUUGUCUAGUGGUCCCCGCCGAAUUUAGAUAAAAAGGUGCAAUCUGUCAGAUCAAGCUCUGCCGACUUUUUCUCCUCUUAGUUGCCUAUUGCUAGGCAAAGACUUCAGUGCCCAGACCAUUCCUAAUCAGUGGAAAGAAAAUGCACUCCCUCUGCUGCACUCUGUGGGCUAGGUUGUUGAAGCUCUUUGGAGUCUCCCAUGUGUGGAGCUGUUUUAUCCUUCAGAUGGUCUCCCUCUUUUUUUUCUUUUUAUUUUCUUUUGUAUACUUUUCUGCUCCAUUCCUGAAAUGAGAUUCAAAUACUAAAUAUAAAUAUAUAUUAACAAUUAAACAAUAUUUAGUAAGGAUAGAGAGAAAAUUAAUAAUAAAAUAAUCAAUAAUUAACACCCUAUCAAUAUACAUUUAAGCUCAAUUUUUACUAAGUGUUAAGAUGAUAAAUUUGAAUUUCCUAUGACUCUAAUAACAAUAAAAUAUCAUUUUUCUUGUCAAACAACAUGCAAAAAACAAAAAAAGGUAGAAUUUCAAAUUAAUCAUAAAUGGGUAAUUGAGUAUUCUCAUGUCUAUUUGUUAAAUUGAUAUAAAUGAAUUGAUUCAAUUAUAACUAUUACUCAACUAGAAUCCGCUCAAACCCGUUUAAGUUAAUCAUUUUGACACCCCUAAUGUUAAUAUAUAUUGACAAGUGAAAAGUGCAGCAUUUAUCACGAAGAUAUACUUAUUUAUUUUAAUAUUAAAGUCAUUUUUUCAUUACAAAAAUAUUGAUAAUUUCAUAAUUUCAUGGAAGUAUGUAACCAGUGACAUAACAUAGUCGCCAGUGGCGAAUCUUGUCACGAGCCUUCUUUUCAACGCUUUGAUUAUGGCAUACACCUUUAACAAUAUGCCCCCACGUUGUCUUUCGAUCACUUUUUUUUUUUUUUUUAACCUCACAUUCGUUCGUUAUGUAUGUAUAAUUUCUUUACAAAAAAGUGAAAAACUCCAAAAACGUGGCAGCUCAAACGGGGCCAACAAUCUACUAUGUUCGCCUGUUCUCCCCGGACCCACCAGCCGCGGCGGCCAUGGGUCAUCUAUAAAAGCAUAGAUCAAGACUACACUAAUCCCUCAUCAGUCCAAUCCAUCCAUACUUCUUCUUCAGGCCUCAGCUACUAAACAAUAAACUCUGCUCCACUCAAUUCUUUCCUCUGUUUCUUGUGGUUUUUGUCUGAAAAUGGCGGCAUCAGAAGAAGUGAAAGUGCCAAGAAUCAAGCUGGGGUCGCAAGGUUUUGAAGUUUCAGCUCAAGGGCUGGGCUGCAUGGGCAUGUCAGCCUUCUACGGGCCGCCAAAGCCCGAGCCUGAUAUGAUCAAACUCAUUCACCAUGCUAUUAGCAGAGGCAUCACCCAUCUUGACACCUCCGAUAUGUAUGGACCUCACACCAACGAAAUACUCAUUGGCAAGGUACCGUAUUUGCAAAUUUUCUGCUGUUGUGUGCUAUGCAUAAACUCUUGUACUUCUAAUUUCUAAAAGAGCAUAUUUGUAAGUAUUUUAUUUGGGUAUAUUAUAUUUAACCCCCUGCACUUGAAAUCUUUGUCUCCCUUUGUGCCCCUUAAUUUUGUUUGUCAGCACUUAAACUCCAUCUGUUUAAAUUAUAAGUAUUAUUAGUCAAAUAAGACAAUAAUAUUCUUCAUUUCUUCUUCUUCUUCUUCUUCUUCUUCAUUUUUCAGAUGUUUGUCCUCAAUUGUAAGAGAAGGUCGUAGGUCUAGCACAUACGUUGAGUAGCUGUAUCCGAUUAGAAGGAUUUAGAUCAUAAUGGAGUUGGUAAAAUAGUACUAUUUUCGUCUUUGAAGUUAAAAUUGUCAUCAAUUUAUGGAAAGUUUACUAUUUCUCUGAUAAGAGAUGGUAAAAUUUACUUUUUACGAGCACUAAAGUUUUAAAGAUUAUGAAAAGAGAAUUGUACGAAUGAAUAUAAGGGAAAAGAAAGGUAAGAAAUAUGGAUUGUGUUUGGAUUGAUUUUGGGAGGGGCAAGGAGAGGAAAGGGAAAGAAAAGGAAAUGGAUGGAUUGUGUUUUGCUCAGACAUCAUUUCCAUACAAAAGUAGACGGAAACAGAGGGAAAGAAAAUCUAGUUGAUGAUUUUCUUAUAAAAUGCCUCAAGCACCCAAAUUUUACAUAAACUUGAGUAACCAUGUGUUUCAUAUCUGUAGAACUUGCCAUUUGUGAAACCUGCUUUAGAUAUGAAUUGUGGGAUGCAACAGCAGGCUAGGAAUGUUUGACUAAGCAACUUAUGUAAAUAUUUUAUCGUUAAGUGAAGUUCCUCUUUUGCUGUUCAAAAAAAAAAAAAAAAAAGAGAGAGAAAAACCAUUCCUUUAAUGUCUGUCAUUCUACCAAACAGCAGAUUUAGGUUUUCUUUUUUCCCAUCCAUAUCUAAUCCAAAUAAGGCAAAUGAGAACUAUUUUCCACUACUCUCCUUUCCUUUCUUUUUCACUAGGAUUUUUAUUUAUUCUUUCCUUUGAUCCUAAUGGUUCCUAAAAGGGCACUAAUUAUUCUACAUUGAUCGUUCCCCAUAUUUGUAUUAAUGUGCAUGUUCACGAUUCUGUGUACGUUCAUGUUGUGCAUCAAAUCUUGUGACAAAGCUAGAUUGUAAAUUUAAGUUGAAGAAACAUAAAAGAAAAAAGAAAAUGGAUUGGCUCCUUUAAGAGUAUCAGACUUCUAAACCCCAAGGAUUACAUAAUUUUCAUAUCCUUUGCUAUACAAAGAAGUGGCAUAGCCUUAACAAUGAAGUGCUGGAAAAACUCCAGAAGGACUGUGCCAUCCAUGAAAUCACAAUUCCGCUUGCUAUACCAUGCAUUAAUGUGUAUGCCCUUGAUGAUUAAUAUAAUGAAAUCAUGGUUCUAGGCCUUGAAGGAAGGAAUAAGAGCGAAAGUGGAGCUAGCAACAAAAUUUGCAAUCAGUUAUCAGGAUGGGAAAUUUGAUGUACGUGGUGAUCCAGCCUAUGUGAGGGCUUGUUGUGAAGCGAGUUUGAAGCGGCUUGAUGUGGACUGCAUUGAUCUCUAUUAUCAACAUCGCAUCGAUACACGUGUGCCCAUUGAAGUCACGGUUUGCUCGUCUUGCCUUUCUUGUAUUUUAGCUCCACCUCAUUCUUGAUGAAACAAAAGUUUGAUCAACUCCAAAUUUCGAAUAAUUCAGUUUCAUGUGCGUUUCAAUUCUUCAAAAAUUGCACAGAAAAGUUAGUCAACCUUAUGGUCUAGGCUAAUCUGCAGUAUGCUAAAUCUUAUUUAGCACCAGGCACCCUGAAAAGUGAAAACAAUGAAAAUGUCUUAUAUUAGCUUGGCAGUCCUGCUGAGGGAUAUACAGGUGGAUAUCAUGCUAUACAUUGUACAGCUUUCCUUUAGAAGCAAGAGACCUGAGCAUUCUCUUUCAUUUGAGAUAGGCUAUCCAGUUGAGUAAUGAUAUGCUAUUUACUUACCUUGUCAUUCGUUUUCAGUCGGUGCCAAAAGCACUGCAGAUAGAAGUUUUUUAGUCGAUAUCUAAAAAACGUGGUACUCAUUUUGUUCAGAGUAUAGCUUUUUGUCUAAUUGUGAAAGCCAGCUGCGACUACCAUUGACCUCUCUAAGCAAUUCAAAGAUUGCAGCUGCUUGCUUACAUUCAGCUUUUAUGAAAACAAUUUCUGUCUUCUUUUUCUAAUAUAGUCAGCAAAGAAUUGUCUUGUUUUUCCUGAGUAUUAGGAAGAAACUUUCUUGCAGUUUAAUCACUCAAAAUACAGGCAAGUAUAAAGGAAAUCAAGGAAAUUGACAACUGAUAAUUGAUAUGUACAGCCAUUAUUAUAUCUAGAAAACGUGACUGCAAAAAGCGCCUCCCACUCGCGUUUUCUGAGUCGCGUUUCCUGCACAAAACUUGCAGAAAUGGAAACGCGACUGUGCAGGUAAACGCGACUUCAAGUCGCGUUUUUGAAUCUUGACCCCUUCCUGCACUUUAUCACGCGGGCGCGUCAAGAGGAAAUGCCACCUACAUAUUAGCAACAACGAAAACUGAAACCCAAAAUCAGUCGAAUUCAAGGGAAAUAUAUUUAAACUAUCACACGAAAUCAAACAAACAAUUAAAAGAAACAAUUGGGUUGCCUCCCAAGUAGCGCCUUUCUUUAAUGUUUUUGGCUAGACAUGCUAUGCUUGUUCACGGGGGAUAAAAUCUUGUGGCUCGUUUCAAUGCUUCAUCUUCAAUAUGAUCCUGGUAACCCUCAUAGAUGGAGUAAUCUUUGAGCACACGAGUUACGGGCUUCCAUGGACUAGUAAAUGGCGUUAAACAAGUCAACAAUGAUCUGCAUUCUCCACUCACUCCUCCACCACACGCAUUCAUCGGUUCAAGAUAUUUUUUCAUUGCCACUCUUAACUUAUUCCUGUCAUGAAAUUUCAGAUUUUCUGGUAUAAUAAAAUCAAUUUCAGUAACAGGAAUUGAAGAGGAGGAAUUAGGAAAAUAUUGAUUAAGGAGUGGAGAAGAUGUCACCGCAUUUGGAAAUUGUUCACUGGAUUCAUUCACUUGAAUAAUUUGAUGUUGGAGUCUCAUGUCUUCCGCUUCAACUUCCUUUUCAACUGUAUCUUUGGAUCCUCCUUCUUGAGACUCUUGCAGUUCCAUAUCACUUGUCAGGAUAAUUGCACUCUCACCUUUCUUAGAGUCAUUGAUGGUCUGUGAGGGCAAGUCUGACAUGAAUGACGAUUGUUGAGACUCUUGCAGCUGAAAACUCAUUGGCCCCUCUUCAUAAUUAACGUUGGAGUUAUCCCACCAUCCUUGAUCAUACCGGUUUGAAUAAGGGUCAUACCACGUUUGAGAUCGAGGUGAAGAAUCUCCAAAUUUUUUUUUGAGAUAGUCACUCAGGUAGUCUUGAUAUUCGGGGCACAUACCGGUUGAAUGAUCCCUGGCAUAACAAAUUUCACAGGUUGCAGCAGCCAUUCUUUCUCUAACAGAGUUUAGUGCCUCUGCAUAUGCAGACCUCACAAAAAAACUAGCCUCAUUACCUUCCCCGGAAAUAAAAUCCAGUAUAUCACCAAAAUACGGAGUGUAAGAAACCAUAAACUAAAUAAAAAAAAAGAAUGUAAACAAGAUGAAUUGAAAAAGAAACAAAUAACUAGCGCCAGUCCCCGGCAACGGCGCCAAAAAUUGACAGGUGCCGAACCUGUACAAUAAUAAAUACCUACUCGAGAAAAAUACAGAUUUUGUAUAUAGCGGUGAAUAGGGUCGAAUCCACAGGGACUGGGGAUAAUUCGUUUCUUCUAGAGUCCAAAGUAUGGGGGGUUUUGGAUUGAAUGCUAACUAAAUAAAUUAACUGCAGAAAAUAAUUGAUUAAGAGAAAUAAUUAAGGGAAAACUCUAGCCAAGGGUACACUUCAGACAUGGUUCAGGCACUGAUCAUUGAUUCACACAUAAUUCCACAUUUAUUAAUAGACCAGUUAUAGUUGUCAUGCACGCGAUAAACAACCAACCUUUCCUUAAUUUCUCGAUAGUUAAGGUACGACCGUUAACUAUUUCUCUAACCCAAAAACAACCCUAAGUACGACCGUAGGAUUUAAUUUCUAGAUUGCAUUAAUAAUUAGAAAGGCCUAAUCCUAACUAACAAACACGCUACGAGGGUUUGUUUAAGUUAGAUCGUAUGCUCCCCUGACAUAAACUCAAUUACGCCAGUUGCUACUGAGAUAAAGAUAACGAACAAUUACGGAUUCAAUUAUCCCUAUUUAGCAAAAUAGCCUAUGUGAAUAAUUAAAUAUUGCGCAUCUAUUCAAUCACUCACACGAGCUAUAGCAAUUAAAAGCAGGAAACAUAUAAAUAUAAAUAAAUUAAGGAAGCAAUUAAAAUAAAUUAGAUCUCACAGUAAUUGUUGAACCAAAUCUUCAGUUGUCCCCUUGACUUGAAUUAAGAGGUUAGUUCUCCAUUAAUGGAGAACAACCAUGCGAAAGAGCUAAGAAAAGAAAACUCAAAACUCAACUAAAAACCUCAAACUAGUGAUUCAUUCCUCCCCGUUCUCUUGUACGUUUCUCCCUUUUUAAAGCCAAAAGGAAGUCUAAUGCUAUCUCUAGUGGUCCCCACACCAAAUUCAAAGUCUUGUACGUUUCUUUUCCUAGAGUCCAAAUGAUUCAUGCUUCUUAUCCGUGGUCCCCGCACAUGUGGACAAAGCCUUCCAAGUACUUCUUGUUCCAAGUCUCUUUCCGUAGCUUUCUUUGAAGAGCCCAAAUGACUUAUUAGCUUUUCACUAGCUUGUGGUCCCCACCACUCCAAGGGCCCAAGAAUUGAAGUCCUUAGAAGUCUCCCUAUUUUCCAUAAAGUCCUUCCUUUUUGGUAGUUUCCUGCUUCAUUCCUGAAAUUAAGUCCAGAUACCAAAUAUGAGUAAAUAUUAGCAAUUAACACAAUAUUUAUCAGGGAUGAAAGGGGAAAUUAAUAAUAAAAUUACUAACAAAUUAUACCCUAUCAAUCUAGUUCAUGAUUUUCUAGUAAAAUGCCUCAAGCACCCAAAAUUUUACGUAAACUUGAGUAAGCAUGUAUUUCAUAUCUGUAGAACUUGCCAUUUGUGAAACCUGCUUUAGAUAUGAAUUGUGGUAUGCAACAGCACGCUAGGAAUGUUUGGCUAAGCAACUUAUGUAAAUAUUUUAUCGUUAAGCAAAGUUCCUCCUUUCAUGUCUGUCAUUCUAUGCAAACCUCCUUUUAUCGUUAAGCAACUUAUGUAAAUAUUUUAUGUAAAUAUUUUGGUUUUCUUACUUUCCCAUCCAUAUCUAAUCCAAAUAUGACAAAUGAGAACUAUUUUCCUCUACUCUCCUUUCCUUUCUUUUUUACUAGGAUGUUUUAUUUAUUUAUUUAUCCUUUCCUUUGAUCCAAAUGGUUCCUAAAAGGGCACUAAUUAAUCUACAUUGAUCAGUUCCCUAUAUUUGUAUUAAUGUGCAUGUACACGAUUCUGUGAAUGACAAUUAGGCUAGAUUGCUUCAAAUCUUGUGAAUGACAGAGCUAGAUUGUAAAUUUAAGUUGAAGAAAUAUAAAACAAAAAGAAAAAGAAAAUGGAUUGGCUCCUUUAAGAGUAUCAGACUUCUAAACCCCAAGGAUUACAUAAUUUUCAUAUCCUUUGCCACACAAAGAAGUGGCAUAGCCUUAACAAUGAAGUGUUGGAAAAACUCCAGAAGGACUGUGCAAUCCAUGAAAUCACAAAAUCCGCUUGCUAUACCAUGCAUUAAUGUGUAUGUCCUUGAUGAUUAACAUAAUGAAAUCAUGGUUCUAGGCCUUGAAGGAAGGAAUAAGAGCGAAAGUGGAGCUAGCAACAAAAUUUGCAAUCAGUUAUCAGGAUGGGAAAUUUGAUGUAUGUGGUGAUCCAGCCUAUGUGAGGGCUUGUUGUGAAGCGAGUUUGAAGCGGCUUGAUGUGGACUGCAUUGAUCUCUAUUAUCAACAUCGCAUCGAUACACGUGUGCCCAUUGAAGUCACGGUUUGCUCCAUUUUGCCUUUCUUGUUUUUUAGCUCCACCUCAUUCUUGAUGAAACAAAAGUUUGAUCAACUCCAAAUUUAGAAUAAUUCAGUUUCAUGUCCGUUUCAAUUCUUCAAAAAUUGCACAGAAAAGUUAGUCAACCUUAUGGUCUAGGCUAAUCUGCAGUAUGGUAUUGCUGAAUUAGCACAAGGCAUCCUGAAAAGUGAAAACAAUGAAAAUGUCUUAUAUUAGCUUGACAGUCCUGCUGAGGGAUAUACAGGUUGAUAUCAUGCUAUACAUUAUACAGCUUUCGUUUAGAACCAAGAGACCUGAGCAUUCUUUUUCAUUUGAGAUAGGCUAUCCAGUUGAGAUAUACUAUUUACUUACCUUGUCAAUCGUUUUCAGUCGGUGCCAAAAGCACUGCAGAUAGACGUUUUUUAGUCAAUAUCUAAAAACAUGGUACUCAUUUUGUUCAGAGUAUAGCUUUUUGUCUAAUUGUGAAAGCCAACUGCAACUGCCUCAUUGACCUCUCCAAGCAAUUCAAAGAUUUCAGCAGCUUGCUUACAUUAAGCUUUUAUGAAACGAUUUCUCUGUCUUCUUUUUCUCAUGUAGUCAGCAAAGAAUUGUCUUGUUUUCCCUGAGUAUUAGGAAGAAACUUUCUUGCAGUUUAAUCACUCAAAAUACAGGCAAGUAUAAAGGAAAUCAAGCAAAAUUGGCAACUGAUAAUUGCUGCGUACAGCCAUUAUUAUAUAUAUAAGUCAACAAUGUCAUGUAAUCAUAUUGGAGGAGCAUUAUGUUGGCAUGGUCCAGUAGAACUAAGUCAUCCGUUGGGCUGUACAUAGAGAACUAUCACUGGAUGCUUAUUGCCAUUUUCAUCAACUAGGGAUUUCAGUUUGACGUAUACUUUGUCCAAGACUUCGUUGAACUAGUGCAACUUUUACUUGUUCCACGUAAUAUUUCGAUUAUCUGCCUAAGUAUUGAAUGUAAUAAAUCAGCUUCGCAUCUUCUUGUCCAUUGAAAUUCUCUAGAUUGGAGAGCUCAAGAAACUGGUUGAAGAGGGUAAAAUAAAGUAUAUAGGUCUGUCUGAGGCCUCAGCUUCAACAAUUCGAAGAGCACAUGCUGUUCAUCCAAUAACAGCUGUACAGUUGGAGUGGUCAUUGUGGACCAGAGAUGUCGAGGAAGAGAUUAUUCCCGCUUGCAGGUAGUGCGUAUAUUCUGCUGCAUUUUCUACAUGGUCUAGAAGAAAUAUGAAGUUCUCAAUUCAGUUUUUGGUAUAAUCUUUCAGAGAUCUUGGCAUAGGGAUUGUUGCAUAUAGUCCACUUGGACGAGGUUUCUUCUCAUCAGGUCCAAAGCUGAUCGAGAAUUUGGCUGAAGGUGACUUCCGAAAGGUUUGUGCAUAGCCAAAAAGAUUGUUUAUAGUUCGAAUAAGUUUCUCACUCAGUGGCAAUCUUGCUUGAUCACAUUUAAUCAAAUUUCUAUUAAGCAUAGCAAUUCAACGGGUUUUUUUUUUGUUUUCUUCUUGAACAAGUCUUGAACUCUUUAGUUUGAUUCAAUGAAUGCAGAUUUUGGUGUCCUCGGUACUUAGUUCAAAUUAAAAGAUAUAGCACUAGCUUUGUCAAAUUUUAGAUCUUAUAUGAAUUGAAGGUUGUUAUUGCAUGCUGGAAAUUUAUAUAGAGGACAACAAUCGCAAGCAAUGGAUGGUAUUGAAUUUUAAAGUGCAAAGACGUCCUAAGAUGUCAAAACAGGAAGAAACUAUGCCAGUUUUUAAGUAAAAGUCUCUUUACUGUUUUGAGGGGAAAUGGGCCUUAGACUUCAAUUUCAUCAUUUAGUCUCAGGCACAGAACUUAUGUUGUCUUGUGAAACUAUCAUUUUUCUUUUACCAUUAAUCCUAAAACUGAGUUUCAUUGGUCAGAACUCAGAAGUAUACUUCAUAGUUGAUUUGUAUUUUAAGUUUCCUCUUUGAUGGGAAAUAUAUCUCAGAACUUAACUCCAACAGUUGAUGAUUCCUACUUGGGAGUAUUCAGUCCACCUUGAUGCAUUGUUCUUUCCCCUGAACUUGUGCCCUUCAAACAAUAUUUCUGAUCAUCUUGAAGUAAUUAGUACCGUCUGUUCAUUACUCCCUUCUGAUUUCUUGCAUUAUAGUUUCCUCUUUAAUGGGAAAUGUAUCGCAGGAUCUACCUUCUACAAUUGAUGUUUCUUUCCCCUGAAGUUAUUCGUAACGUCUUCUGGCAUUAUAGUUGCUUAAAUUUUGAAAUUCAUACAAUGCAGUAUAUGCCAAGGUUUCAAGCAGAGAAUUUGGAGCACAACAAGAACUUGUACGAGCAGGUCAAUGCCAUUGCUUCAAGGAAGGGUUGUACUCCAUCACAGCUAGCACUGGCCUGGGUCCAUCACCAAGGCAAUGAUGUUUGCCCCAUACCGGGCACUACCAAGAUUGAGAACCUCAAUCAGAAUAUAGGAGCUUUGUCUGUAAAACUGUCUGCAGAGGAAAUGGCGGAACUUGAAUCCAUCGCUUCUGCAGGAGUCAAGGGUGAUAGGUAUGGGCCUGGCCUUGUUACUUGGCAAACUUCUGAAACUCCACCUUUGUCAACCUGGAAGAGGACAUGAAGACAUAUCUUUGUUAUGGCAAUAAUUCCUUCUAGCUAUGUGCCUGAG
rnacentral:lncRNA from 1 species